GGCUGUGUGGUGUUGAGUUACUGGCUGGGGUUAAGCCAUGACAACGUGUUAUUUAAUAAGUUGCUGUAUUUAUUGCCAUGAAGCUACAGCAGUAAUUCUUCUCAUUUACUGUCUUUUGGAUUUCCAAGUUUCAUAUUAAAUCUGCCCAGAAAGUUCAAACACCCCCUUGUCAGAUACUGUCAGAUACCAAAUAACUUCAGAACCGGGAGAUCCAAACCAUGUUUGUGGCUGACUAUACCACUGCUGGUGUUUCCACAUCAUUUUUAAAUUAUGGUUUUUGAUAAUGUGUGCCAAAAAGAAAGAUGGACUGCAGGAUUUCAUUUUUGCAGUGGUUAAAGGUGACAUUAGUGGUAGGUGAUAAACAGCGAGUCAGAAUAUAGGAUAAGACAAAAGCAGAAGAUAGACUAGGGAGGAGAGGAAGAAUGCAGUUGACUAAAUGCCAGUCAUUUUAGAAAUGAGGUGCAGGGUAGUUUUUUGAGCAGAGACCAUUGACAAUAGCAUGCGUGUCAAUAUUUGUUUAGUAAACCCAAAGCUUGCUAAAAGUUUUCUUUAGGGUAUAGAACUUUUCCUGUUUUCUUUCUUAAAGCAGAAAAUUCUCAUUAGUGUUUCUGGAAAGGAAAUAUGUGUUUCACAAAGAUAUCAUAUGUUGGUUCAAUAGUUUAUUGGCUUCCUGUUACUGAUUCUUGCCAUUCUGAAGAGGAAUGUACCCCAGUUGUCUUGGACAGGAAACUACUUUGAUUUUAAUAAAAAAGUCUUAGGCUGUAUGUCAGUGGUAAUGAAUAAUAAAUUCCCAAAUUGCUUUCCUGAGGAAAAUAAACAUAUUUCCCUUUUCUAAUUUUUAUACACACACAUAUAUAUAUUUAUAUGAGCAUACUAGGUUACACCUGUUUUGUGGAUUUGACAGAAUAUUUAUCCAUUUUUUUUCAGAUAGUAAUAUUGAUGAUAUACCUUACUCUACUGUAAUUCUUCCAGGGCCUCAGGAGGUUUUUCAGAAGUGCCUCCAAGGCUUACAUUCCUGUAGUUCUUCCACUGAAGUAUCACAUUCACUAUAGGUGUGUUGCUGUGUACAUAGUGAAAAACAGGUGAAAGAGCAAUGUAAAAUGCGGCUUAGUGUGCCUUCAUGAAUGAAGUUAGUUUUAAAGUUUAUGCAACUGAAAAACAUUAUGGUUUAGAGAAUAUAUUGCUUCUGUAUGAUCAUAAAUGGCAUAUAGUUCUACAUACCAAAUAACAAAGAAAUUUCCGUUUCCCAGUUUAUUGUUAAUCUUUGAGAAUCAAGAUAUUUUUCUCAUAAAGCUGAGAGAAACUUAGGUGAAGUUAUGCAUGAUCAGAUCAGUUUGAAGGUAAAUUCAGUUCUGAUAGGUACUGCUCACAAAAAGAUUCUUAACUAAUGCAUUUUGAAGAAAUCACAGUAGCUGAGAAUAAGUGGAAUAAAACAUACAGUAAGCUAAGUGCAUGUUACGUUCUCUCACUUUUUGUCAUUGCUCUGUAGAUCUCAGCCUUUUUCUAUCUUGUUUGGCAGAAUUAUAGUGCAGGGAUAUGCUUUUAUGAAACAUUUUUAAAUCGCUAGGAAUAGUGAUUGAAUAGGGACUUACUCAUUGUCAAAGGCUAUUUCAAAAUCUCUUAUGUAAGGCAGUAUACAGUGAAGAAAGCCUUAUCGGCAUGUUAGCUGAUUUGGAAGAUUGACGGAGAUCAUCAAGGUGCAUGGAGCUGUAAGAAUUGUUGAAUCAAUGUUACAGUAUUUUGUUGUUCACAGACUUAAGCUGAGUCACUCAAGCCUGACAGAAAAAGCUCCUGGCAAAGCUGGAUGUCAGGUGCUUCAUCAAGUCUCAUGGGUUCUGGGAAAUAAAAAUAGAUCAAUGAAAUAAGGGCCAAGUCCCAGUUUUAAAAAAACUAUAUAUAGGAGUUAGGAUCGCAGAGUAAGUAAAAAUACUUGAUUCAAAAGGCUUCCUGCUUUUGAAGUGAUUUCUUGGCAGGAUUUUGCAGAUUGAUUUUUGAGGAGUAAGAUUAAAAUUCUUAAAUAAGGAGGUUUUAAACUUUCCUGCUAUGAAUAUUAUUCCUUAGUUGUUUAUAAGCAUCUCCAUUCCAAUUCAGUACCAAGUGAACUGACUGUUCUUCCUGUUUGGUAUCAUAAACCUUCCUGACUUAUCAUUCACCUCAAGGAGGCUACCCUUUCUUCCCAUUAUUGCUUUUGCAGACCAUCCUCUCUUGCACAUAAUUAUCUGCACUAGUUUCUUAUGCUCCUUGCAGGCUCAGGAAUGGAAUCAUAAAGUCCUACUCCCUCCUCAUUUUCUUGUCCUGCCUCCCUUUGUAUUGCAAUUAAUCCUUAUGGGAGCUAAUGUAACUGCUUAGAUAAAAAAAGAUUAGUCGUAGAUACACAUUUAAUAUCUCUCAGGUUGAAAUGACCAGGGUUUGUCACGCUCCUGAAUGGAAAUUCUGAGUAUCAUAAACAGACGACAGGAUCUCCAGUGCUGCUAUUGUCUUAUUUUAGCUGAACUCAAGUGUGAAAUAAUAUUCCUGUGGUUACAGGUAUAUUUAUUUAUCCUGGUGAUGUAUUAAGGUAUUUUAGUUUCAGAAGGUUUGUUUAACUUCUGUGUAUUUCAUUAUUCUUCUAUAAAACAGCUGGACUUCAGUUGUAAAUUAAAACUAGUUGUUGUUUGCAAGUAAAUAACCAUCUUUCCUACCACCAGAGAGCCUUGUAACCUUCAGAGAGAGUUUAACAGAUAGAAUGCUUAGAAGACUGUAAAAGUUCUGGAAGAUUUGUCUGUGUCAAAUACAAAGACGUACUUCUUUCUUAAACAGGCAGUUGUUGAUCUUUAACUAUCAAGUAGCUAUUAAAUUGAGGUGCUUCAACUUCCUUUUGGGGAGUAUUUUAUAACAACUGAUACAGUACUUGGUAAUCUUUUACAUUUGACAGUAAGCCAGUAUUUUUCUAUGAUAGUUUUAACCUAUACUUUAAAACUACACAGUUCACCUCUGCUAAUGUUUUGAAUCCCUCACAGUAGAUGUUGUCUAAAUAUGGAGCUGGAAGGUAGGACAGUCAUCAGGAGCAAUGACAUAACUCAAAACUGCUAUGAAGAUGAGCAGAAGUAAUGAGGAGUCUCCUGUGAACUAUAAUGACAGGGGCUCUUACAUGGCACUUACGUGCUGCUGGCACUGGCAUGGGAUAGGAGAAAGGAUAAAAUGGUUCUCCCUAAAGAAGCCUGCAGUUGAGGAAGCCAAAAUUUGUAUGAUAGCUUUGUUGUACGCAGUGUGGGACCAUGUUUGGCGCACAAAACCAGACUACAUCUAAUCCCAAAUUAACCUCUGUAGCUUCAUGUAAUGGAAAUCGAAGGAGCCUCCGCACCAGCUUCUUCAGUGUGUUUAUCUGCUUCCUUGCACUAACUUAUUUGCUAAUGUGGAGAUACCUGUUGGACAUGAUUCAAAUCCCCAUAGACUAAGUUACUAUCUGCAGCUACUGACUUCAUAUUUAAAAAAAAAACCUUGAAAUAUUGUUCAGGUAUUUCCCCUGAGGUUCUGGCCCAUAGACACAACUUUCAUUUCACUGAUGAAUUGUAUGCUGCUUCUAUGCUGCUUCUAUGUGUACUCAAGAGAAAUUAAUUUCAUAUCUAGUAUAUUGUAUCAUUUGUAUCUCUUCUGCAGAGAUACUUACAGAGGUGCUAUAGUUUUCCACAUAUUAGAAGUCAGCAGAAAAAAGUCUGUAAGGGGCCGGAGAGAUACAGUGAACAGAAGACUGCAUGCAAUUCUUGGACACUGUUUCUAAUAGAAAGUGGUAAAUAAUGUAGUAACUCAGGCAAAAAAGCAAAAGUAUAGGCAAAACUGAUGGACAGAGAAAGCUGAAUAAUAAAAACGCAAAGGAUAAAAAUGCUUGAUUUAAAUUAUCCAGUAAAGGUAACAAAUUGCAUUGUGAAUAGCAGUAAAAACAGUAAAAUGGAUUCAUUAUUGGUUGAUCUAAUAAAAAUAUUUUCAAAACAGAAGCUGAAUAUUGUAUCACUUACUUAGGGUCUGUAUUUGUGUAUAUAUGGAAGAGAAUGCAUAAAGUAAAUGUGAGCCAAGCUAGGGAAAACUAGAAUAUAGAUGUGGCGAGUAUGUUUCUUUUGUUAUGAUGCUAGUUGCCAUAGUUGCUAUUGUUGCAGCCAACAAACACUAACUAUGUGCUUCUAAAGGAAGCUGAUAUUUUUAUUGCUUAUACAAGAAGGAAAUUUACUUUGUCCUCUCACCAAGGCAAUCCUUGUGUCCCGCUUUUCUGUGUGUCGCUCCCCUGUUAAUUCAUAUGCAGAACGGUUGUGCAUAAUUCCUCUGUAUCUGCUUUUA